ensembl:lncRNA
GGAGAAUUUCAUGGGGUCACAAACAGUCGGACAGGACUCAGUGAUUUUCUCUUUCACUUUCAGCCCUAAGUGAAAAUGUGAAUCUAGAUCUACCUGACUCGUGAACAGAAAUUUUAACAAGGCACGUUCUUCUUAACAUCGCUUCACUCUUAAACACGCGAUUCAUUUCAAGUAUAUGGAGACAAAACAGAACUAAGACAUGAUCCUAGUGUCAGAGACGACCUCCUACGAUUGGAGAAAAGGAAAACACUUGCUUUCUUUGGAGGGGAAAUUCAGUGCCAGAGACAUACACUUGAAGUUCGUGAUUGAAAUUCCAAAGACAGGGUCUGGGGCUACCCACUUUGUUUCUGAUACUGUGACGAAGCUCUCCUCACCUCCAUUUCUCUCACGUGACAAGCCUCAUCCCCAGCUGACAGUUGCAGGGCAUCCACCUGAAACUUCCUGAGCCUACAGUGUAAAUGGAUUCAUUUCAUCUGAGGAUUAGUAAAAACAAGUUCAUUUUUCCAGAUUCAGCUGAAAUCCCACCUAUGAAGCCUUUAAUCACUAAAAUCCACAGCAAUCCCAAUGCACUUAUUGACUGUAUAAUUCAUAGAGAACCUGGAAAUGUUUUUGGAAUUGCUAUUUAACACUUUUUUAGUUUGAGAGAAAUUUUCCUCUCUUUUUGGCAUUUAGUGAAGAACUGGACCAAGCAAAACACUCUAAUAUCUACUAAGGGCUUCCCUGAUGGCUCAGACGGUAAAGGAUCCACGUGCAAUGCAGGAGGCCUGGGUUUGAUCCCUGGGUCGGGAAGAUCCCCUGGAGAAAGGAAUGGUUACCCAGUCCAGUAUUCUUGCCUGGGAAAUCCCCAUGGACAGAGGAGCUUGGAAGGCUACAGUCCAUCGGAUCACAAGGAGUCAGACACAACUGAGCCACUGACACUUUCACUUUCAAUGGUAUCAUAAAUCAAUAAUAAUAUCUAUUUAAAUGAACCUGGUAACAAAGACAAGGUAGCCUUUAAAAAAUACAGAAAAGAGUGGGAUGGAUUUUAGAAACAUUUCCAUAGGAAUAAAUGAAAUAUUUAAAAACUGGAGUUCUUAGCAAAUUAUAGAUAAUUGACACUCUGGUGAUGACAAGAAUGCUGCUGCAAAAAAUUAUAGCAAAGAACAUAAACCAGGCAUUUGCCCAUUGUCAGGCACUGAGUCUUUCCAACACACAACACAUGUGUUAUUGUAACUUACAUAUUAUGGAUAAGAAAAUUAAGGCACUUAAGUUAAUUUUUAGAAAUGUCAGCUAAGUGGUGGAGUCAGGAUUUGGAACCCCGGCAGUUUGAUUACAGAACCCAUGAUCUCUAAUCAAAUUAAUAACUUUGGCUUCAGAGUAAUAAUACUACAUAUCUACUUCAUUUGGACUUUAGAACAGAAUUAUGAAAGAAAUAAGGCAGCUUAUCCUACUGACAGUAAUUACAAUCUGAAAGAAAUCUUACAUUUAAAACAUUAUCUUGAAAAGAC